AGUGGCGAACGGGUGAGUAACACGUGAGUAACCUGCCCUUAACUCUGGGAUAAGCCUGGGAAACUGGGUCUAAUACCGGAUAUGACUCCUCAUCGCAUGGUGGGGGGUGGAAAGCUUUAUUGUGGUUUUGGAUGGACUCGCGGCCUAUCAGCUUGUUGGUGAGGUAAUGGCUUACCAAGGCGACGACGGGUAGCCGGCCUGAGAGGGUGACCGGCCACACUGGGACUGAGACACGGCCCAGACUCCUACGGGAGGCAGCAGUGGGGAAUAUUGCACAAUGGGCGCAAGCCUGAUGCAGCGACGCCGCGUGAGGGAUGACGGCCUUCGGGUUGUAAACCUCUUUCAGUAGGGAAGAAGCGAAAGUGACGGUACCUGCAGAAGAAGCGCCGGCUAACUACGUGCCAGCAGCCGCGGUAAUACGUAGGGCGCAAGCGUUAUCCGGAAUUAUUGGGCGUAAAGAGCUCGUAGGCGGUUUGUCGCGUCUGCCGUGAAAGUCCGGGGCUCAACUCCGGAUCUGCGGUGGGUACGGGCAGACUAGAGUGAUGUAGGGGAGACUGGAAUUCCUGGUGUAGCGGUGAAAUGCGCAGAUAUCAGGAGGAACACCGAUGGCGAAGGCAGGUCUCUGGGCAUUAACUGACGCUGAGGAGCGAAAGCAUGGGGAGCGAACAGGAUUAGAUACCCUGGUAGUCCAUGCCGUAAACGUUGGGCACUAGGUGUGGGGGACAUUCCACGUUUUCCGCGCCGUAGCUAACGCAUUAAGUGCCCCGCCUGGGGAGUACGGCCGCAAGGCUAAAACUCAAAGGAAUUGACGGGGGCCCGCACAAGCGGCGGAGCAUGCGGAUUAAUUCGAUGCAACGCGAAGAACCUUACCAANGGCUUGACAUGAACCGGUAAUACCUGGAGACAGGUGCCCCGCUUGCGGUCGGUUUACAGGUGGUGCAUGGUUGUCGUCAGCUCGUGUCGUGAGAUGUUGGGUUAAGUCCCNGNCAACGAGCGNCAANCCCUCGUUCUNAUGUUGCCAGNCACGUGAUGGUGGGGACUCAUAGGAGACUGCCGGGGUCAACUCGGAGGAAGGUGGGGACGACGUCAAAUCAUCAUGCCCCUUAUGUCUUGGGCUUCACGCAUGCUACAAUGGCCGGUACAAAGGGUUGCGAUACUGUGAGGUGGAGCUAAUCCCAAAAAGCCGGUCUCAGUUCGGAUUGGGGUCUGCAACUCGACCCCAUGAAGUCGGAGUCGCUAGUAAUCGCAGAUCAGCAACGCUGCGGUGAAUACGUUCCCGGGCCUUGUACACACCGCCCGUCAAGUCACGAAAGUUGGUAACACCCGAAGCCGGUGGCCUAAC
rnacentral:rRNA from 1 species